rnacentral:rRNA from 1 species
GUGAGGAAUAUUGGACAAUGGGUUAGCGCCUGAUCCAGCCAUCCCGCGUGAAGGACGACGGCCCUAUGGGUUGUAAACUUCUUUUGUAUAGGGAUAAACCUACUCUCGUGAGAGUAGCUGAAGGUACUAUACGAAUAAGCACCGGCUAACUCCGUGCCAGCAGCCGCGGUAAUACGGAGGGUGCAAGCGUUAUCCGGAUUUAUUGGGUUUAAAGGGUCCGUAGGCGGAUGUGUAAGUCAGUGGUGAAAUCUCGCAGCUUAACUGUGAAACUGCCAUUGAUACUGCAUGUCUUGAGUAAAUUUGAAGUGGCUGGAAUAAGUAGUGUAGCGGUGAAAUGCAUAGAUAUUACUUAGAACACCAAUCGCGAAGGCAGGUCACUAAGAUUAAACUGACGCUGAUGGACGAAAGCGUGGGUAGCGAACAGGAUUAGAAACCCUUGUAGUCC